GACGAACGCUGGCGGCGUGCCUAAUACAUGCAAGUAGAACGCUUAAGAGAGGAUCUUGCUCUUCUUGGAUGAGUUGCGAACGGGUGAGUAACGCGUAGGUAACCUGCCGGGUAGCGGGGGAUAACUAUUGGAAACGAUAUCUAAUACCGCAUAAAAGGGAUUAUCUCAUGAUAAUCCAUUUAAAGGUGCAAAUGCAUCACUACCAGAGGGACCUGCGUUGUAUUAGCUAGUUGGUGGGGUAACGGCUCACCAAGGCGACGAUACAUAGCCGACCUGAGAGGGUGAUCGGCCACACUGGGACUGAGACACGGCCCAGACUCCUACGGGAGGCAGCAGUAGGGAAGCUUCGGCAAUGGACGGAAGUCUGACCGAGCAACGCCGCGGGAGUGAAGAAGGUUUUCGGAUCGUAAAGCUCUGUUGUAAGAGAAGAAAGAGGGUGAGAGUGGAAAGUUCACACUGUGACGGUAUCUUACCAGAAAGGGACGGCUAACUACGUG
rnacentral:rRNA from 1 species